rnacentral:snRNA from 1 species
UUAUCGUUUAGGCCUUUUGGUCAGAUCAAGUGUGAUAUUGUCUUAUCAGUUUUAAUAUCUGAUAUGUCCCCAUGGGGGGGACUACAUAUUAUAAAUUGGAUUUUUCGAACAGGGAGUCGGAAAUGGGGCUUGCUCCAUCCGCUCCACGCAUCGACCGGGUAUUGCAGUACCUCCGGGGAACGGUUUGUUGCAA